rfam:Picea glauca, whole genome shotgun sequence.
AUGUAAUGUAAUUCCUACAAUGUUAAUGCACAAGAUACCAUUAGAACUCAAAAUUUAAUCAUUCUUGGGAUAGAGUAGUACUGGGAUGGGUGACCUCCCAGGAAGUCCUAUUGUUUUACAUG